AUUGAACGCUGGCGGCAGGCCUAACACAUGCAAGUCGAACGGUAACAGGAAGCAGCUUGCUGCUUCGCUGACGAGUGGCGGACGGGUGAGUAAUGUCUGGGAAACUGCCUGAUGGAGGGGGAUAACUACUGGAAACGGUAGCUAAUACCGCAUAACGUCGCAAGACCAAAGAGGGGGACCUUCGGGCCUCUUGCCAUCGGAUGUGCCCAGAUGGGAUUAGCUAGUAGGUGGGGUAACGGCUCACCUAGGCGACGAUCCCUAGCUGGUCUGAGAGGAUGACCAGCCACACUGGAACUGAGACACGGUCCAGACUCCUACGGGAGGCAGCAGUGGGGAAUAUUGCACAAUGGGCGCAAGCCUGAUGCAGCCAUGCCGCGUGUAUGAAGAAGGCCUUUCGGGUUGUAAAGUACUUUUCAGCGGGGAGGAAGGCGAUAAGGUUAAUAACCUUGUCGAUUGACGUUACCCGCAGAAGAAGCACCG
rnacentral:rRNA from 1 species